AAAUUCUUGGUGGGCUACAAGACCCCAGACUGAUGCUUUCAAAUCUUUACUUUUAAAACUGCGAAUUGCACUCGUUAUCCUAGUAUUCAUUACUUACCUUAUAGUACACUGUUCACUUAAAUGUGGUACUAAAACUAUAGAUGACAAUACUAAUGUCUUUGUCAUACAGGUCUGGAAAUCCCAGCCUGCAUUAGUACACUCAGAUAGUUGCAAAGCAGUUCUACCCCGCACCUUGGGGUCAACGCCUACCCCCACUAUGCUCCUGGUCAGCGGGAAGAAGUUAGAGUGGUCUUUGUCCUUUUUCCAUCUUCAUUAGCCAACACCUUAAGAUUAAGGUGUUAUAAAACCCAAAGGGAAUGAUUGAAACUGCCAUCGCAAAAUUACAACUGAGACAGUAAAAGAGAUCUGACCUAACCAACUCCAUCUUGCUUCAACCUCCAAGCUGUCCUUGUCUAUUCCUGGUUGUAGGCUAAAUUAACUUUGGGAGGAACUUAGUUUAUAGUUUAAAACAAAGACGAUGAAAGACCUUUCCCAAAACAAAUUCCCUUCUUUCCUGGGGACUAGACUGCCUUUGUAGGACUAACAAAUUAGCCAAAAGAUUAGAAAUUAUCCUCCCCAAAUUGCUCCUGGGGAUAACAUCACCAUUGUAAAGCCCAAGAUCAGUGCUUGAGAUAUUUUUCAGACCCUGCACUUGAUGGAUCAGCUGGCACCACCCAGAUGGAUAAACUGGCUCAUCUGAUCUUGUGGCCCCUACCCAGGAACUGACUUAGUGCAAGACAGCUUUCACUCCUUUUGAUUUCAUCUCCCACCCAACCAUUCAGCACUCUUGACUCACUGUCUCCCCAUAUCCCAACUCACCACCAAAUUAUCCAUAAAAAUUAUGAAACCCAAAUGCCCAGGGAGACUUAUUUGAGUCAUAAUAAACCUCCUGUUUCCUGCACAGUUGGCUCAGGGUGAAUUACUCCUUCUCUACUGUAAUUAUCCUGUCUUGAUAAAUUGACUCUGUCUAGACAGUGGACAAGGUGAACCCACGGAGCAGUUACAUGUCUGUCUUUCCCAUUAAAUGUGAUCUUUCUGAACAUUCAGGGAAUGGAAUGAAUGGUUGGUAGGAUAUUAUUUUCCAAAUAAAUGAUUAGAAAACAUCAAGAGAGGAGCUAUAGUGUCUCACUGGUGCACAGGCCAGUCACCCACAAGGCUGUAAGGGAAUGCAUGGGAAACAAUGGCUUUGGGUGUGGAAAGUCUUUGGUUGGACAAAUACAAAUGGUUACUUACCAUUGUGAUUUUAAUAGAAGUAAACAUCAAAAACUAAAAAUGAACAAACUAUUAACCUCUUUAGUGGGCUAAUGAUCUCACUGUGAAUAAUCCAGGCACUCAGUUUUUCAUUUUUUUGUUCAUUUUAACAAAACAUAUCUGGAGCAUGGAGUAAAACUAUUUGAUACCUGACUCUGCCACUUUCAACUUGUGUGACUUUGGCCAAGAGAUGCAACAUCUCUGAACCUUGGUGUCAUCAUCUGAAAAAUGGAUAAUAAAGCAUGAAUCCGAGCUAUAUAAAGAGAAGGGGGAGCUGCAGAUUCCCAGCAGCUAUAAGAGUUACUCAGCAUCAACCUUACCCCUCCUGCAAGGCUUCUCGUCCACAUCACAGUUGAUCCACCUCGAGCUCUCCUAUCCGGUGUUUCCUCUUUCCUGGACUAUGAUCCAUAAGGACUGGGUCCAUCUUGAGUAGUUGUGUCCCUCAAUGGCCAACAUAGUGGAAACUCAACAUACAUUUAUGGUAUGGGCAAAUGAGUGAGUGAAUAUGUGCAUGGAUGAAUUUCUACCACUUAUAAUGGUCUAUUGUAAUUGCCCAUUUUCUUGUCUGUUUUCCCCAACUCAACUGGGCAUUCUGUUAGGCAGAAACUGUGUCUGCUUUCUUCACCAGUACUAUGCAUCCCAGUGCAAGGGGUAGUGCCAGAUCAGUAAGUAUUUAAAAUAUGGAAGGAAAGGAGGGACUGGGGGAAUGUUGAUCCUCUAAAAGCUUGUCAUGUAGUUGGGGAGGCCAGAUUAGCACAUAUGAAAUAAUCUGAGAAUGAGAAGCAACUAAACUGAUAGCUGUAACAUUCUGAGAUCUUAAGAUACCCACAGAAGCUGAGUUGGUGUGAGCUGGAAAUGGAUUGCCUGGGGACUGAAAGGCCACAAAGCUCUGUCUAGGAAAGGCUGGUAAGGGGACCAACCAUUCAGGCAGAAUUUGGCUGGGACAGUAUUGUGAAUUUGAAGGUUUCUGAGGGAAGGGAAGUGUUGAUAACUGAUCUAAGGUGAUUGGGCUUAGAUUAUACACACGGAGUGCUUAGAGGUGAAUCGGAAUUCUAGGUCCCUUCUCCCCCAAACUCACUAUUGGGCUAUGAUGAAAGUGCAAGGGGGAGUUUGGCCUCACAGACAAGCCUGUCUUACCAGGCAGGACAACCAUGGCCACACCUUUCCUGGUAAACACUUCCAGCUCUCUAAUCUUUGGGUACUUGACAAGUGCAUUGCAUGAAAUGUUCACUCAAAAUAGAUGUAACAGCAUUUUAGUGUCAGGAGAAUAUGUUAGACUUUUAGUUGUAUCAGGAGACAGAUCUCUCCGUUAAGUGAUAAAAUACAAACCCAAAGGGAGUCCUAGCCCAGGAAUUUCCCUCACAAAGAGAGUUAGGCUACAGUGUUCACCAAAUUCUUAAAUUCUUAAUUCCUAAAAGAGCAAGAUUCUAGCCAAAGCUUAAGUACUAAAGUUUCACCAAUGAAACAGUCUUCUUUUCUUUUCUUUUCUUUUCUUUUCUUUUCUUUUC
rnacentral:lncRNA from 1 species